AUGAGCAAAAGCCGAGAAAGUGAAAGUUACUCUAAAGAAUGGUGUGGCAAGAGUAAAAGGGUUCACAAAGAAAAGGUCAAAAGUGGAGAAAGAGGAGUUGGCUGUUGUUGAAGAUCUCAAACUGAAAGAGAGGUUGACAAGUCGUUACAAAGGGUGGAAGAAGAAGCUCAGCGAAUAUAUAAAGACGAGCAUGGUGUGCUUCUUGAUGAUGAAGCAGCUUCAACUAGAGAUGCAAUGUAUGAGCAGGUUGAUCUCUAAUUCAGAAACUUAAUGCCAAUCAGGUUAUCACGACAUCCGCUGCAGAUGGGUUACCAUAAGGAUGGAUUAAAGA
rnacentral:lncRNA from 1 species